rnacentral:rRNA from 1 species
GAUGAACGCUAGCGGCAGGCCUAAUACAUGCAAGUCAAGGGGCCAGUAAUGGCACCGGCGGACGGGUGCGUAACGCGUACACAACGUACCUUUGGGUGGGGGAUAGCAUCGGGAAACUGGUGGUAAUACCCCAUGGUAUUGGAGACUGGCAUCAGUUUUCAAUUAAAGACUACGCCCAAAGAUCGGUGUGCGUCUGAUUAGUUAGUUGGCAGGGUAACGGCCUACCAAGACGAUGAUCAGUAGGGGGCGUCAGAGCGUGGUCCCCCACACUGGCACUGAGAUACGGGCCAGACUCCUACGGGAGGCAGCAGUAGGGAAUAUUGGGCAAUGGAUGCAAGUCUGACCCAGCCAUGCCGCGUGCAGGAAGAAGGUCCUCUGGAUUGUAAACUGCUUUUAUCGGGGAAGAAUAGUUUUCUUGCGAGGGAAUGUGACGGUACCCGAUGAAUAAGCCACGGCUAACUACGUG